rnacentral:rRNA from 1 species
GGACAGGUGGUGCAUGGUUGUCGUCAGCUCGUGUCGUGAGAUGUUGGGUUAAGUCCCGCAACGAGCGCAACCCUAUUGCUAGUUACCAUCAUUAAGUUGGGGACUCUAGCGAGACUGCCAGUGAUAAACUGGAGGAAGGUGGGGAUGACGUCAAAUCAUCAUGCCCCUUAUGACCUGGGCUACAAACGUGAUACAAUGGCUGGAACAAAGGGAUGCGAAGCAGUGAUGUGGAGCGAAACCCAUAAAAACAGUCUCAGUUCGGAUUGAAGUCUGCAACUCGACUUCAUGAAGUCGGAAUCGCUAGUAAUCGCGGAUCAGAACGCCGCGGUGAAUACGUUCUCGGGGUUU